ensembl:miRNA gmo-mir-11247 gmo-mir-11247
CUCAGGAGUAUGAUAGGCCCGGUUAUAACCUGUUAGCCUAACGGGGCCUUCAUUAUUCUGAG